GAUGAACGCUGGCGGCGUGCCUAAUACAUGCAAGUCGAGCGAACGGACGAGAAGCUUGCUUCUCUGAUGUUAGCGGCGGACGGGUGAGUAACACGUGGAUAACCUACCUAUAAGACUGGGAUAACUUCGGGAAACCGUAGCUAAUACCGGAUAAUAUUUUGAACCGCAUGGUUCAAAAGUGAAAGACGGUCUUGCUGUCACUUAUAGAUGGAUCCGCGCUGCAUUAGCUAGUUGGUAAGGUAACGGCUUACCAAGGCAACGAUGCAUAGCCGACCUGAGAGGGUGAUCGGCCACACUGGAACUGAGACACGGUCCAGACUCCUACGGGAGGCAGCAGUAGGGAAUCUUCCGCAAUGGGCGAAAGCCUGACGGAGCAACGCCGCGUGAGUGAUGAAGGUCUUCGGAUCGUAAAACUCUGUUAUUAGGGAAGAACAUAUGUGUAAGUAACUGUGCACAUCUUGACGGUACCUAAUCAGAAAGCCACGGCUAACUACGUGCCAGCAGCCGCGGUAAUACGUAGGUGGCAAGCGUUAUCCGGAAUUAUUGGGCGUAAAGCGCGCGUAGGCGGUUUUUUAAGUCUGAUGUGAAAGCCCACGGCUCAACCGUGGAGGGUCAUUGGAAACUGGAAAACUUGAGUGCAGAAGAGGAAAGUGGAAUUCCAUGUGUAGCGGUGAAAUGCGCAGAGAUAUGGAGGAACACCAGUGGCGAAGGCGACUUUCUGGUCUGUAACUGACGCUGAUGUGCGAAAGCGUGGGGAUCAAACAGGAUUAGAUACCCUGGUAGUCCACGCCGUAAACGAUGAGUACUAAGUGUUAGGGGGUUUCCGCCCCUUAGUGCUGCAGCUAACGCAUUAAGCACUCCGCCUGGGGAGUACGACCGCAAGGUUGAAACUCAAAGGAAUUGACGGGGACCCGCACAAGCGGUGGAGCAUGUGGUUUAAUUCGAAGCAACGCGAAGAACCUUACCAAAUCUUGACAUCCUUUGACAACUCUAGAGAUAGAGCCUUCCCCUUCGGGGGACAAAGUGACAGGUGGUGCAUGGUUGUCGUCAGCUCGUGUCGUGAGAUGUUGGGUUAAGUCCCGCAACGAGCGCAACCCUUAAGCUUAGUUGCCAUCAUUAAGUUGGGCACUCUAAGUUGACUGCCGGUGACAAACCGGAGGAAGGUGGGGAUGACGUCAAAUCAUCAUGCCCCUUAUGGUUUGGGCUACACACGUGCUACAAUGGACAAUACAAAGGGCAGCGAAACCGCGAGGUCAAGCAAAUCCCAUAAAGUUGUUCUCAGUUCGGAUUGUAGUCUGCAACUCGACUACAUGAAGCUGGAAUCGCUAGUAAUCGUAGAUCAGCAUGCUACGGUGAAUACGUUCCCGGGUCU
rnacentral:rRNA from 1 species